GUGGCCAAUGGGGCGGCCAGGCUUCAGUCCAGGGUGGCCAAUGGGGCGGCCAGGUUUCAGGGCGGCCAGGCUUCGGUCCAGGGUGGCCAAUGGGGCGGGGCCAGGUUUCGGUCCAGGGUGGCCAAUGGGGCGGCCAGGCUUCAGUCCAGGGUGGCCAAUGGGGUGGCCAGGUUUCAGGGCGGCCAGGCUUCGGUCCAGGGUGGCCAAUGGGGCGGCCAGGCUUCGGUCCAGGGUGGCCAAUGGGGUGGGCAGGUUUCAGGGUGGCCAGGGCCACCACUUGCCACCCUCCAGAUCUAUGUACA